ensembl:lncRNA
GGAGCUGGGUUCGACCGCUGGGGCUGCGGUUGGGUAAGCGCCGUCGCUCCGAGGGGCGUGUUGAGCGAGGCUUUCGCGGGCGUGAGCGGGGGAGGGGGGACCGUUGAAGUCCUGCGCCGCGCCCGCAGGAAGCUGCUUUAAUGGCUAAGUCGGCUUGGUACCCUGCUCUUGGCUGGGACGGAUCCGUAAGGCCAUGUGGCUCCACUUGAAAUGUGUAGAUGUGGAAACUGAAGCCCAGAGAGGGUAUGGAACUUGCCCAAAGUCACACAGCCGGUUAGCGGCUUGGUAAGGAAUGGGUUCAGGAGCCUAGAGGGUAUGGAACUUGUCCAAGGUCGUACAGCUGGUUAGUGGCUUGAUAAGCUCAAGCUCUCCUGACUGCCGUUGUCCCUACAAGCAGCUUUCUCUCCAAGGAGUCCCCUAGGCCUGCUUAUAUAGGGCUUGAGACCUGUACUAAGUCUGACUUGCUUAGGGGUGAGCUAAGGGAAUCCUACACUUAGACACCCCAUCCUUGACAGAAUGGAAAUGCUUCACCCUGUAAAGGCUCAACCUCGAACCAGAAAGAAUGUGUGUACAGGCAUAAAGGAUCGUGGUUCUUGACCUGUUUUAGUUCUGAACUCCUGAAGAAACUCAUGAAUGCCUUUUCUUAGCAAAAUGCAUAUAAAGAAAAUGUGGGCCGGAUGCGGUGGCUGAUGCCUGUAAUCCCAGCACUUUGGGAGGCCGAGCGGGGCGGAUCACGAGUCGGAGACCAUCCUGGCCAACAUGGUGAAACCCCGUCUCUACUAAAAUACAAAAAAAUAGCCCGGCGUGGUGGCGCAUGCCUAUAGUCCCAGCUACUCCUGAGGCCGAGGCAGGACGAUCUCUUGAACCCUGGAGGCAGAGGUUGCAGUGAGCCGAUAUCGCGCUCCGUCUCAAAGAAAAGAAAAAAAUGUGCAUACAGUAUCUUGACUUUCUUUGACAUUGAUGGGGUUUCACCACGUUGGCCAGGCUGACUUCAAACUCCUAACUUCAAGUGAUCCACCCGCCUCGGCCUCCCAAAGUGCUGGGAUUACAGGUGUGAGUCACCGCGCCUAACCUAUACAAUUUUGAAAAAGGCAGGCAUGGUGGCAUGUACUUCAGGAGGGUGAGGCAGGAGGGUUACUUGAGGUCAGGAGUUCAAGGCUUCAGUGACCUAUGAUCCUGCACUCCAGCCUGGGUGACAGCUGGACCCUGUGGCUGAAGUAAAAUGCUGAGAAAAUGAAAGUUUUGCAGCAAAGUUCCAAUCGAACAUAAAAUCCUUACCAAAAUCAAAAUGAACUGACUUUAGUUGAACUAAAGUUACUGAUGAUGCUGUUUAGUUCCCAUCAAAAGUACAUUCAAUAAAUGCUGGUGAGGUACUGGAGCUUGAGUGAUGAGCACAGACUCCAGAAAUUGAGUGCCUGAGUUCCUAUCCCAGCUCUACCACUUCUUAGUUUGUGAGUUAACUUUCCUCAAUGUAAAAUGGGACUAUUAAUUGUCCUUACUAUGUAGGGACAAAUGGGGAGGUCCUAAGUGAGUUAAGACCUGGUGAAUGGGCUGAGUGCAGUGGCUCAUGCCUAUAAUCACAGUGCUUUGGGAGGCUGAGGCUGGAGGAUCACUUGAGCCCAGGAGUUUGAGGCCAGCCUGGCCAACAUGGUGAAACCUCAUCUGUACUUAAUACAAAAAUUAGCUGGGCCUGGUGGCAAGAGCCUAUAAUCCCAGCUACUUGGGAGGCUAAGGCAGGAGAAUCACUUGAACCCAGGAGGUGGAGAUUGCAGCAAGCCGAGAUCACACCACUGCACUCCAGACUGGGUAACGCAGCUCAAAAAAAAAAAGAAAAAAGAAAAA